GCUUGGAUGAUGACUUCAGUCAUAAGUCGGAUACCCCUUCACUCUGCAUGAGUGAGAAGGUAUGACUGACAAGC